rnacentral:lncRNA from 1 species
UACAAUACAAUGAAAAAACUAUGUAGGUCGAUUUGUACGGUCCAAGGAAAUGAAAAGAUCAAUGGUAUAAUCUGGAGAACGAUCAUCGAUUUUAAUAACAUAAUAAUUAAAAAGGUGUAAAAAAGAGAGGAACUUACGGGGGUUCUCUUAUGAGAAAACCAACGGAAUACCAUGAUACUUGUCCAAAACAAGUAGUAAAAUCAAGCAUAUAUCUGAUAUCAUGACCCGGUGGCAGUGGAUGCUGCUCCGCUUGCCACACUUCGUUGCAUAUCAUCCCGUGCGUUGCCACGGGACAUAAACAUUUAUAAAAGCAAUACGCAGUCAAAUUACAAAAACAAUAAAUGCCGAAGGUAUCUCCGGCUACACGCAUCAUGCGCAUCUCCUCUUAAACUCUACUUCUCGUGAAGUAUUGAGGGAGGAGACCAACAAUAUGGUCAAGUACUAAAAACCUCACAUAAACAUGGAUAAUGAACGGUUAGAUAUCUGGUGGCAACAUCUGCUAGAGCCUGGUUGGUAGUAGUCGCCAUGAUAAACUAAAGAUGGAAAUCGUGCUUGGGUUCUUCCCAUGAUUGUUACUCAAACCACGAGGCUUUACUUCCUAAUGCAUUCCUCUCAAGUGUAAAAAAAGAAAUCCAUCAUUUACCUUUAGUUGUUCUCUUUGCAUCAUGUACAUCAAAUAGAAGAAAAUACCUUGCAACCUAUAAGAAGAUACCAUAUGGC